rnacentral:lncRNA from 1 species
UAUUCAAUACGCACACGCUAAAACAAAGGAGUAAUUGUUGAAAUCAAAAUUCAUAAAAGCAUGACCUCAAAUUUGUUCAGUAAUGUCAUUGCGCUUAACCUCAUCUGUAAGCAACUAACAGAGAUCAUAAACAAGAAUAAAAAAGAAUUAUAUUGUUUCAUUUUGACUUAUGUCAGUGUUCAGGCAAAUAGCAUAAAAUGGGAACGUUUAUGUCAACGAAUGUGAGAAUAGGGCAUUAAAAAAGUCAAAAUGGGAGUAGAUAUAGACACAUAUCGUGGAAGAAUUGGAACCUUCAAACACUCAUGCGGGCAAGAUGUUGUGACAAUAGUAUGUGUCAUAAACUUCAGCCGAGGUUUGAAAUAUGUUGGAGCUGUUUUGUUUAUAGGCAUUUUACUCCUAAUAGCAGGCAUUGAAGCAAACCCUGGACCAGGAAGACUACUCUUAUACUUGUUUAUUGUUGCAAUCGUGGUAGUUGUGCUUGGUUUAUUGUUACAAAGAGCA